rnacentral:misc_RNA from 1 species
UCUACACAAUUUUCCCCAAUUGUGGUGUGGCUAACUGCUUGUUAGUUAGCCUCUGGCUUGGCUGGUUAAUCAGCCUACCAGUACUCAUAGUGUGCAAUGACGUGAAGUUGGUAUCGAGGCCAACGAGAAGUCGCACGCUUGAUGAGUGAAGGGAUUGCUGGAACGGACGGAUUAUGAGUCGUCCAGGCGAGAUGCCUCCUCAAUCCCUAAGACUGCCAUUGACUUGACCGAAGCGAUUGUCUGUAAAGAUAAUAACUGCU